rnacentral:rRNA from 1 species
UGACAAUCUGCUUCAGAAACGUUGAUGAAGACCAACGCGAAGGAAGCGAAACAUGUCAGAUUUUGCCAUAAUUACAGAUGGAACAGCAGCCGUUGUCGGCCUCCUGGUGGGGUUGAUCAACAUGGGUGUGAACCAUUGCCCGAACGACGGGUGUUUGGCAAAAAAUGAAGUGACGCCAUAUAUCGCGGCCUCGGUCGGGGAUGUGGUGUUUCAAAAACAAACCGUUGGCGAGGAAUUCUAUAUCAGAAAGCAAACUGGUACAGCUCGCGGACCAUUCCAAUUCACCUACGGUGCUUCAAUCACCGACGAAGGUGGGGUGUGGAUCGGUUUGGGGAAUACAACAACGUAUCAGAUCACACCACGGUGGUACGCACAGUUCCAUUCGAUGCCCGGGAUUUAUCUCGAAGGCGGAGAGGAGGACCUUGGCGGACCGAUCGAAUUCAGAUCCGGUAUCGAGUUGGGAUACGAAAAUCGCACAGGUGUGCGGAUGGGGCUAAGCAUUGACCACCGGUCAAACGCUGGGAUCUACUCCAACAACCCUGGCCUCGAGACUGUACAGUUUCGGGUUUCCAUUCCCCUCAAAUAACCAACCUUUUGGUUGUCAUUAGUGUCCAGUCUUGUGACGGCGUACCUUUUGUAUAAUGGGUCAUCGACUUAGUGUAUCUAGCAAGCUUAAGCCGUUAGGUGUAGGCGCAGCGAAAGCGAGUCUUAAUAGGGCGACUGAGUUAGAUGCAUUAGACCCGAAACCGAGUGAUCUAGGCAUGACCAGGUUGAAGGUAAGGUAACACUUACUGGAGGACCGAACCCACAUCUGUUGAAAAAGAUCGGGAUGAGUUGUGCCUAGGGGUGAAAGGCCAAUCAAACUCGGAGAUAGCUGGUUCUCUGCGAAAUCUAUUUAGGUAGAGCGUCAUCCGAAUACCCUCGGGGGUAGAGCACUGGAUGGGUAAUGGGGCCCCACAGGCUUACUGAUCCUAACCAAACUCCGAAUACCGAGGAGUACUAGAUGGCAGACACACUGCGGAUGCUAACGUCCGUAGUGGAGAGGGAAACAACCCUGACCUACAGCUAAGGCCCCUAAUUCAUGGCUAAGUGGGAAAGCAGGUGGGACGACCAAAACAACCAGGAGGUUGGCUUAGAAGCAGCCAUCCUUUAAAGAUAGCGUAACAGCUCACUGGUCUAAAUAAGUUGUCCUGCGGCGAAGAUGUAACGGGGCUCAAGCCAUGAGCCGAAGCUUAGGAUGCCGUAAGGCAUGGUAGCAGAGCGUAGUGUGACAUAGUUCCACUCCUCUUUAGCAGCUUUCGAGCUGUUCUGGAGGAACGGAGCUUUCGAUGAAGCCGGGGCGUGAGCCAUCCGGUGGAGAGAUCACUAGUGAGAAUGAUGACAUGAGUAGCGACAAAGAGUGUGAGAGACACUCUCGCCGAAAGUCCAAGGGUUCCUGCUUAAAGUUAAUCUGAGCAGGGUAAGCCGACCCCUAAGGCGAGGCCGAAAGGCGUAGUCGAUGGGAACCAGGUUAAUAUUCCUGGGCCAGGAGGAUGUGACGGAUCAUGAAGGUUGUUUACCCUUAUUGGAUUGGGUGAGCCGCUGAUUGGUUCCUGGAAAUAGCCCUCCAUUAGAUCGUACCCUAAACCAACACAGGUGGACAGGUAGAGUAUACCAAGGCGCUUGAGAGAACUAUGUUGAAGGAACUCGGCAAAAUACCUCCGUAAGUUCGCGAGAAGGAGGCCCGGUUCCUAGGCAACUAGGGGCUGGGGGCACAAACCAGGGGGUGGCGACUGUUUACUAAAAACACAGGGCUCUGCGAAGUCGCAAGACGACGUAUAGGGUCUGACGCCUGCCCGGUGCCUGAAGGUUAAAAGGAGAGGUGAGAGCCUUGAAUUGAAGCCCAGGUAAACGGCGGCCGUAACUAUAACGGUCCUAAGGUAGCGAAAUUCCUUGUCGGGUAAGUUCCGACCUGCACGAAUGGCGUAACGACUUCCCCGCUGUCUCCAACAUAGACUCAGCGAAAUUGAAUUGCCUGUCAAGAUGCAGGCUUCCCGCGGUUAGACGGAAAGACCCCGUGCACCUUUACUACAGCUUCGCACUGGCAUCAGGACUGCAAUGUGCAGGAUAGGUGGUGGGCUUUGAAACCGGAACGCUAGUUUCGGUGGAGCCUCCCUUGAGAUACCACCCUUUGCAUUCUUGAUGUCUAACCGCGGCCCGUUAUCCGGGUCCGGGACCCUGCGUGGUGGGUAGUUUGACUGGGGCGGUCGCCUCCUAAAGCGUAACGGAGGCGCGCGAAGGUUGGCUCAGAGCGGUCGGAAAUCGCUCGUUGAGUGCAAUGGCAGAAGCCAGCCUGACUGCGAGACUGACAAGUCGAGCAGAGUCGAAAGACGGCCAUAGUGAUCCGGUGGUCCCGAGUGGAAGGGCCAUCGCUCAACGGAUAAAAGGUACGCCGGGGAUAACAGGCUGAUACUGCCCAAGAGUCCAUAUCGACGGCAGUGUUUGGCACCUCGAUGUCGGCUCAUCUCAUCCUGGGGCUGGAGCAGGUCCCAAGGGUACGGCUGUUCGCCGUUUAAAGAGGUACGUGAGCUGGGUUUAGAACGUCGUGAGACAGUUCGGUCCCUAUCUGCCGUGGGUGUAGGAUACUUGAGAGGAGUUGCCCCUAGUACGAGAGGACCGGGGUGAACGAUCCACUGGUGGACCAGUUGUCGUGCCAACGGCAGUGCUGGGUAGCUAUGAUCGGACAGGAUAACCGCUGAAGGCAUCUAAGCGGGAAGCCCCCCUCAAAACAAGGUAUCCCUGAGGACCGUGGUAGACCACCACGUCGAUAGGCCAGAGAUGUAAGCGCAGCAAUGCGUUCAGUUGACUGGUACUAAUUGUCCGAUAGGCUUGAUUUG